UCUCAGCAUAUUUCUAGCCAUCUCAGAGCACUGCAGCUCACUAUUUGUGAAAUUCUGGGCAAAUCACUCAAUGACCCUCCGUUUUCUCCAUAUUCUGCAAACACCUUACAGAGACAUAAUGUAAAUUAAAUGAGAGAAAACAUGAAAUAGUGCCUGGCACAGAACAGAUGCUCAAGAAAUAUUAGACUCUUUUCCUCCUCUUUCACAGGAAGCUGUUGUUCCUUACUCCCCUCGGAAUUUUCCAUUCUCACCUUUAAGGAUUCAGGAAGGCUAUUCUGCAAGGAUUUCUCCAGCAUCUGCAGCAUCUUGGCACCUUGCAAUGAGAACAUUUUGAAGGACACCUUACCUAGAGAGAUGACCAAGAAACAGGCAGGAAUGAGAAGAGAUGGAGGAGAUUUAGAAACUGCCUACUAUCCUACAUUAACACUUGCUGUACCAUCCCUGGACAAAAAAGGAGGAUUACAGGAAAAGAUAUUUUGAGUCCCAACUCUACUUUGAAAACACCCAGGAGGGAAGUCUGUUGUGUCCAGGCCUUUGAUCUUUCCAUCAUGUCCUUUUGCCUUGUUUACCAGGUGUCUUGGCUCACCUAGAACAUUAAUGCUCAAUCUUUCCUCCUGGGGUUGAAGUUAUCAGGAUCCUCAUUACCCUUUCUCCAAAGCCAAAGGCCUUGGGGGUUGUGUUGUCACUUCAUCACAGUGGAUCCCUUGGCCCCAAAAGGGUUCAUUUCUCACGAAGGAUGACUGCAACAAAAAAGGAUCCUCUUGUGCCCUGAUUGCAGAGAACAGACCCCUACUCCCCUCCUUCCUUCAGCCCCGCACUCAGUCAGGCACAAAACGUUGUACUGGCCUCAGGUCUUGGAGUAGAAGAUCUGGAUUCAGGUGUCUCUGUCCCCCUUUUAUCUUGGAGUAGUCUCUUAACCACUGUGGGAAAUCUCCCCCGCUGUAAAAAGAGUGCACCAUACAGGUAACCAAGGAUUUUUCCUGCUCUUCUUUGACUUUGUGGUUAUUAUUCUUGUUGUUUUAUAUGAGAUAACAGAAUUAAAGCUUCUAGAAUACUUUGGGAUCACAUACAAGGGAAAAGAUCCAGAAGCACUGGCAUCAGCCUUUAUUCUAAGUGCCGUCCUGCAGAGUAUGGAUCGAGAUAUCCAUAAUGUUGGUAAAGCCCCAUAGCCUAUUAGCUCAGAGUGUGAACAAUAGGGCCAAACCAAUAGGGUUAGGAUCCUGAAUGUGCCACUUACGUACUCUGUGACCUUGGGAAAUCAUUUCAUCUUUCCAUGCCUCAGUUUCUGUGUCUGUAAAGGGCUGUAGGUAAUAUUAUUUACUUUGUAGUGUUUUGAGGGGAAAAUGAGUUAUUUUUGAAUUGUUUAGCUAAGUUCCUGGUAUAUGGUAAGCAUAUAUAAAUAUUUUAUUAAACAAAUCAGGAAUUAUCUUAUGUAGGGUAUUUUGUACAUACAAAUGUAUAUGUAAAAAUAUUUGAUGGAAAAAGCUAUUUCCCUGGGGUUUUAGGUCCAGUCUCUUUCCAUAAGGUUUAUACUCAUAAGAUGGAAAGAAUGAUUUCUUUAAAAUAUUCCGUGUUGUCUUACUGCAUGGAUAGUAGAUGAUACUACAGUGUGUAUCUUCCACCAAAAAACCCUCAUUAAA